rnacentral:rRNA from 1 species
AUUGAACGCUGGCGGCAGGCUUAACACGUGCAAGUCGAGCGGUAGCACAGGGGAGCUUGCUCCCUGGGUGACGAGCGGCGGACGGGUGAGUAAUGUCUGAGAAACUGCCUGAUGGAGGGGGAUAACUACUGGAAACGGUAGCUAAUACCGCAUAACGUCGCAAGCACAAAGAGGGGGACCUUCGGGCCUCUUGCCAUCAGAUGUGCCCAGAUGGGAUUCGCUAGUAGGUGGGGUAAUGGCUCACCUAGGCGACGAGCCCUAGCUGGUCUGAGAGGAUGACCAGCCACCCUGGAACUGAGACACGGUCCAGACUCCUACGGGAGGCAGCAGUGGGGAAUAUUGCACAAUGGGCGCAAGCCUGAUGCAGCCAUGCCGCGUGUGUGAAGAAGGCCUUCGGGUUGUAAAGCACUUUCAGCGGGGAGGAAGGUGGUGAGCUUAAUACGUUCAUCAAUUGACGUUACUCGCAGAAGAAGCACCGGCUAACUCCGUG